rnacentral:rRNA from 1 species
UACGUAGGGUGCAAGCGUUGUCCGGAAUUAUUGGGCGUAAAGAGCUCGUAGGCGGUCUGUCACGUCGGAUGUGAAGAUCCAGGGCUUAACCCUGGACCUGCAUUCGAUACGGGCAGACUAGAGUUCGGUAGGGGAGACUGGAAUUCCUGGUGUAGCGGUGAAAUGCGCAGAUAUCAGGAGGAACACCGGUGGCGAAGGCGGGUCUCUGGGCCGAUACUGACGCUGGAGGAGCGAAAGCGUGGGGAGCGAAACAGG